CGUUCUUGAGUGGGCGAGAAGUAUGCGGAAUGCGUGGUGUAGCGGUGAAAUGCAUAGAUAUCACGCAGAACUCCGAUUGCGAAGGCAGCAUACCGGCGCCCAACUGACGCUGAAGCACGAAAGCGUGGGUAUCGAACAGGAUUAGAUACCCUGGUAGUCCACGCAGUAAACGAUGAAUGCUAAUUGUCCGGAGGAAUUGACCUCUGGGUGAUACAGCGAAAGCGUUAAGCAUUCCACCUGGGGAGUACGCCGGCAACGGUGAAACUCAAAGGAAUUGACGGGGGCCCGCACAAGCGGAGGAACAUGUGGUUUAAUUCGAUGAUACGCGAGGAACCUUACCCGGGCUCAAACGCAGGAGGAAUACAUUUGAAAGGGUGUAGCUCUACGGAGUCUUCUGCGAGGUGCUGCAUGGUUGUUGUCAGCUCGUGCCGUGAGGUGUCGGCUUAAGUGCCAUAACGAGCGCAACCCCUAUCGACGGUUGCCAACAGGUAAAGCUGGGAACUCUGUCGAGACUGCCGGCGCAAGCUGAGAGGAAGGCGGGGAUGACGUCAAAUCAGCACGGCCCUUACGUCCGGGGCGACACACGUGUUACAAUGGCGGCCACAGCGGGAAGCCAGGCGGCGACGCCGAGCGGAACCCGAAAAGCCGUCUCAGUUCGGAUUGGAGUCUGCAACCCGACUCCAUGAAGCUGGAUUCGCUAGUAAUCGCGCAUCAGCCACGGCGCGGUGAAUACGUUCCCGGGCCUUGUACACACCGCCCGUCAAG
rnacentral:rRNA from 1 species